CUCAUCGGCCUGCUGAGGACAAAUAAAGUGAACGUGCGUAUCAAUACCACCAGCCGUGACAAUCUUUCCUUCAGCAGCAAUAACAUCCGUGUUCGAUCCAACAAUCAGGUUCGAAUUGACACCGUCCAUAGUAUCAGGAUUUCCGGCCUUUCCAAUAGCUACAAUCGAACCGUUCUUCACACCAAUAUCAGCUUUAUAGAUACCAGUCCAGUCAAUAACCAGGGCAUUGACAAUAAUCAGAUCCGCGCAUUCAUCGUCUGCUCGACCUGCAGCUUGACCAAUUCCAUCCCGAAGAG
rfam:Aspergillus ruber CBS 135680 unplaced genomic scaffold scaffold00006, whole genome shotgun sequence.